rnacentral:sRNA from 1 species
ACCCUUGAGCCUGGGCAGACUCUCUUGCCCAGAAUGCAAGAGAAGCACCUGCACCUCAGAGUAAAGCUGCUGGACAACACCAUGGAAAUAUUUGACAUUGAGCCUAAAUGCGAUGGCCAGGUAUUACUGACACAAGUGUGGAAGCGUUUAAACCUGGUAGAAUGUGACUACUUCGGGUUGGAGUUUCAAAAUACUCAGUCCUACUGGAUUUGGCUUGAACCUAUGAAACCCAUCAUUAGGCAAAUACGAAGGUCUCGCUAUUUGUUGCCCAGGCUGGAGUGUAGUGGUGUGAACACAGUUCUCUGCAGCCUCAACCUCCUGGGUUCAAGCUAUCUUCCCACCUCAGUCUCAAGAUAAUUAUUUUCGUUCAUCUACUUAUUAAAUUUUUUAAACUAAG